GACGAACGCUGGCGGCGUGCUUAACACAUGCAAGUCGAACGGAAAGGCCCUGCUUUUGUGGGGUGCUCGAGUGGCGAACGGGUGAGUAACACGUGAGUAACCUGCCCUUGACUUUGGGAUAACUUCAGGAAACUGGGGCUAAUACCGGAUAGGAGCUCCUGCUGCAUGGUGGGGGUUGGAAAGUUUCGGCGGUUGGGGAUGGACUCGCGGCUUAUCAGCUUGUUGGUUGGGUAGUGGCUUACCAAGGCAUUGACGGGUAGCCGGCCUGAGAGGGUGACCGGCCACAUUGGGACUGAGAUACGGCCCAGACUCCUACGGGAGGCAGCAGUGGGGAAUAUUGCACAAUGGGCGGAAGCCUGAGGCAGCAGCGCCGCGUGCGGGAUGACGGCCUUCGGGUUGUAAACCGCUUUCGCCUGUGACGAAGCGUGAGUGACGGUAAUGGGUAAAGAAGCACCGGCUAACUACGUG
rnacentral:rRNA from 1 species